rnacentral:misc_RNA from 1 species
GUUUGCCUGCGAAAGCUGGCUCACCUUAAAAAGAUUUCGGUUUGACUAGUGGCUAAUGGCCGGUUUGACUUGGCGUUAUAAGUUAUUUCGCUAAGGACAUCCUCCGGGGUGGCCGUCUAUGGACUCCAGUCUCGCUUCUAACGAAGCAACAUAUUUUGACAUCUGGCCUCAAAUCAGGUAGGACUACCCGCUGAACUUAA